GGUUAAGUUAGAAAGGGCGCACGGUGGAUGCCUUGGCACUAGGAGCCGAUGAAGGACGGGACGAACACCGAUAUGCUUCGGGGAGCUGUAAGCAAGCUUUGAUCCGGAGAUUUCCGAAUGGGGAAACCCACCACUCGUAAUGGAGUGGUAUCCAUAUCUGAAUUCAUAGGAUAUGAGAAGGCAGACCCGGGGAACUGAAACAUCUAAGUACCCGGAGGAAGAGAAAGCAAAUGCGAUUCCCUGAGUAGCGGCGAGCGAAACGGGAUUAGCCCAAACCAAGAGGCUUGCCUCUUGGGGUUGUAGGACACUCUAUACGGAGUUACAAAGGAACGAGGUAGAUGAAGAGGUCUGGAAAGGCCCGCCAUAGAAGGUAACAGCCCUGUAGUCAAAACUUCGUUCUCUCCUGAGUGGAUCCUGAGUACGGCGGAACACGUGAAAU
rnacentral:rRNA from 1 species